GGCUGAAAUUCGCCUUCAUGAAGCUGGAAUUGCUAGUAAUGGCAGGUCAGCAUACUGCCGUGAAUACGUUCCCGGGCCUUGUACACACCGCCCGUCACACCAUGAGAGUUGGAAAUACCCGAAGCCUGUGAGCUAACUUAAAGAGGCAGCAGUCGAAGGUAGAGCCAAUGAUUGGGGUGAAGUCGUAACAAGGUAAC
rnacentral:rRNA from 1 species